ACCACCACCAGUUAAAUCUCCUCCACCUCCAUAUUAUUACCAUUCGCCACCACCACCCGUAAAAUCUCCACCACCGCCAUAUUAUUAUCAUUCACCACCCCCUCCGGUGAAAUCUCCUCCUCCUCCUUACUACUACCACUCUCCACCCCCUCCGGUGAAGUCUCCUCCUCCACCUUACUACUACCAGUCACCACCCCCUCCCGUAAAGUCACCACCACCACCAUAUUAUUACCAUUCACCACCUCCUCCGGUCAAAUCUCCUCCUCCACCCUACUAUUACCAUUCACCUCCUCCACCGAUGAAAUCUCCACCACCACCAUACUACUACCACUCACCACCUCCUCCAGUCAAAUCUCCUCCUCCACCGUACUAUUACCAUUCACCUCCUCUACCGGUGAAAUCUCCACCACCACCAUACUACUACCAUUCACCACCUCCUCCUGUCAAAUUUCCUCCUCCACCAUACUAUUACCACUCACCACCCCCACCGGUCAAAUCCCCUCCACCACCUUACUACUACCACUCACCACCCCCACCGGUCAAAUCUCCUCCUCCACCAUACUACUACCACUCCCCACCCCCACCGGUCAAAUCUCCUCCACCACCUUACUACUACCACUCACCACCCCCACCGGUCAAAUCUCCUCCACCACCCUAUUACUACCACUCACCACCUCCACCGGUGAAGUCGCCACCACCGCCAUACUAUUACCAUUCACCACCCCCACCGGUCAAAUCUCCUCCACCACCCUAUUACUACCAUUCACCACCUCCACCGGUGAAAUCGCCACCACCGCCAUAUUAUUACCACUCACCACCCCCACCGGUCAAAUCUCCUCCUCCACCAUACUACUAUCACUCACCGCCCCCUCCAAUGAAAUCUCCUCCACCACCAUAUGUUUACCAUUCACCACCUCCACCCAUGAAAUCUCCUCCUCCACCAUACUACUAUCACUCACCACCUCCACCAGUAAAGUCUCCACCACCACCACCAUAUUAUUACCAUUCACCACCUCCUCCAGUAAAAUCUCCUCCUCCACCAUACUACUACCAUUCACCACCUCCUCCGGUGAAGUCUCCACCACCGCCAUACCAUUACAACUCUCCACCACCACCAGUAAAAUCUCCCCCACCUCCAGUAUACAUCUACGCCUCUCCUCCACCUCCUACCCAUUACUAGGCUCAUCAAAUUCAACCAAAUUUCCCCAUUAUUCAAGUAAAGUCCCAACGCUUCAACAUUUUCAAUAUGCUUCAUAUCCAUAUCGAUAGAACUUUGUCUCAUUAUCUCAAUUUCUUCUUCGCAGG
rnacentral:lncRNA from 1 species